rnacentral:rRNA from 1 species
GAGUGAACGCUGGCGGUAGGCCUAACACAUGCAAGUCGAACGGCAGCACAGUAAGAGCUUGCUCUUACGGGUGGCGAGUGGCGGACGGGUGAGGAAUACAUCGGAAUCUACUUUUUCGUGGGGGAUAACGUAGGGAAACUUACGCUAAUACCGCAUACGACCUACGGGUGAAAGCAGGGGAUCUUCGGACCUUGCGCGAUUGAAUGAGCCGAUGUCGGAUUAGCUAGUUGGCGGGGUAAAGGCCCACCGAGGCGACGAUCCGUAGCUGGUCUGAGAGGAUGAUCAGCCACACUGGAACUGAGACACGGUCCAGACUCCUACGGGAGGCAGCAGUGGGGAAUAUUGGACAAUGGGCGCAAGCCUGAUCCAGCCAUACCGCGUGGGUGAAGAAGGCCUUCGGGUUGUAAAGCCCUUUUGUUGGGAGAGAAAAGCAGCAGGUUAAUACCCCGCUGUUCUGACGGUACCCAAAGAAUAAGCACCGGCUAACUUCGUG